AUGAAAAUGCAGAGAGGAGGAGGAAAAAAAAAAAGACUCAUCACAAUGUCUGUAAAAGCAAAGAUUUGCUUCUUGUUCUCUGUGCAGAAAAACAACCCUGAGAAUGCCAACAGCAGCCAAAAUGAGAGCUGUUUCACGGUCCCGUUGUGCUUCCUGGUGUUGUCUGUCAGCAGUUCCCACCACGGAGGCAGGAGAACGGGGUACACCUGCCUCUGGGCACUGCUGCAAGGAAGUGACUUGAGCUUUCAACUGUUCUUCAUGGCUGAGACCUGCCAGCACAGCCUCUUCGUGGAAAUUCUCCUGGGAAGAGGCCUGAAAGCGUCUUACAGCAUUCCCUGCACCCGUGCCUCAGUCUGCCUUGCCAGCCCAAGUCCAGCCUCAGCCUGGAUCUGUCCGUGCUAGUGAAGGUGAGUCUGUGAUGUUUCGGGCCUCUUGCACUCAAUGGUGCAUUGAAGCACAUCAGGAAAGGAUAAGGUCAGGUAUUUCCUUUGGGCUGGGUGCCCGGUAGCUUUGGAGCAGGAGAGGAAGAGAGUUUCCAAGGCCCCUUCAGAAAGCAGGGCCAGUGCUGCUCUGGCAUGGCAGGAGGAGAGAGUUCCCCUGCCAAGUCCCCUCUGGACCCCUGAUCAAACACAUUGGGGCACCCCUUUGUGCUAACAGAUGAAACUGCUCCUCUCAUGAACUUGGGUACUCAAUGCCAAGUUUAGAUACAGUCUAGACGCAGUGGUGUAUUUAUAACCUUGGCACAUGACGUGGCAGGCAGUGGGGUAUAAACAGCAUUCAGACACGAUGAGAAGCGAAGUUAUUUAUACAUCAGCGUGCUGAAUGUAGGGUACCACAGACCCAAGGGCAGAGGUCACAACUGACUGGAGAUAGGAAGAAGUUAUCCAAACGGUGGGAGUAGUGUUUUUGGGAAUGGUACAUAACAGGAGUUGAGAUUGCUGUCUAACCCCAUACAUAUACUCUAGCAAGGCACAGACUGACUACAGCUCACUGAUAACUUUGAGCUGCAGUAGGUUUUUCUUAAAGAAUAAAUCCUGUUGCUGUAAGAGAUUAAAAGAAUGA
rnacentral:lncRNA from 1 species